rnacentral:rRNA from 1 species
CAGUAGCCGCGGUAAUACGGAGGGUGCAAGCGUUAAUCGGAAUUACUGGGCGUAAAGCGCACGCAGGCGGUCUGUCAAGUCAGAUGUGAAAUCCCCGGGCUUAACCUGGGAACUGCAUUUGAAACUGGCAGGCUAGAGUCUUGUAGAGGGGGGUAGAAUUCCAGGUGUAGCGGUGAAAUGCGUAGAGAUCUGGAGGAAUACCGGUGGCGAAGGCGGCCCCCUGGACAAAGACUGACGCUCAGGUGCGAAAGCGUGGGGAGCAAACAGGAUUAGAUACCCCAGUAGUCCCUGUCUCUUAUAA